UUGUCACCAAACUUGAUAACUUGAAUGAUUAACCCCUUUAGCGCGAGCGUCGUACUAGUACGACGCACAUUAGUUGCAUGCCCCACGACCGUCGUACUAGUACGACGCUGUAGAGCGAAGCUGCCUAUCGUGAUCGUGGGGUCCGUAUCGAGUCCCAGUGGCUCUGUCGUGGACCGCUGGCUGUUCGCGGGCUGCUGGGGGCUGCCUGGAACCGGCACGUGAUUCGAGGCGGGAAAAAUCGAACGAAAGGAGACGCACGGGGAAUAGUUUCAGGCGAGAACAUUUUGGUUGAAAAUGCUGCGCCGCGCGAGAGGAAGAACUGUGGACGAAGCGCUCCACGAGCUGUUUCUGAGUUCAGACAGCGAUGUAGAGCCGUCAGUGAGUAGCGACAGCGACGAGGAGGGUCUAUGGACGCCAGCAAGGGCCAGAGUUCAGAACGAAACUGCGCCUGAUGUGAGUGGCGGAGCAAGCGCCAGUGUCGAUGAGUACGUCGCGGAGCACGCGGACAUUGAUGUUGCGAAUGAAGCGCAGCCGGCGGACGUCCGUGACAGCAGUAGCAGCAGUAGUACUAGUGGCACGGAGAGCGACGAUGAUGAACAGGCGUCCGAGAGGUCGCAUGUCCACAUCCAGGAGCAGCUUGCCGCAGGAGACGAUGGGAGCGAAGGGCAAUGGAAGAUGGAAGAAAACCAGCCCUUGCAAGACUCGUUCACUGCCCAGCCCGGUAUCAAGGUGCCAGUGCCAGAAAAUGCUGAGCCAUAUCAUUAUUUUUGCCUGUUUUUUACUUUACAAUUUUGGCAAUUGCUCUGCACUGAGACCAAUCGAUUUGCCCAGCAAUAUCUAAAUGCACACCGUGACACACUCCCAGCUCGUAGCAGAUUUAGGAAAUGGGUAGACGUUAGCGUACAAGAAAUGAAAGUGUUCUUUGCUCUAUUUUUGCUGAUGGGAUUUAUUUGGAAGCCAGAAAUCGAUCUCUAUUGGAACAGGAACCCUCUGAUUUUCACCCCUUUAUUCCCCGCCUCGAUGAAGCGCGACCGAUGGAUGUGUAUUGCAAGUUUUCUGCACUUUGCAAACAAUGAAGACGAGACGGCUAGAACCGACAAGCUUAGGAAAAUUCGGCCGUUGAUUACAUUUUUCCAGGAUAAAUUUCAGACCGUGUACAUUCCGUAUAAACAUAUCUCUAUUGAUGAAGAAUUAGUGCCAUGGAAGGGUAGACUAGAUUUUAGGCAGUUUAUACCCUCGAAACGAGCAAGAUUUGGUGUCAAGAUAUAUGCUCUGUGUGAGUCUAGUGGUUAUAUGUCUAACUUUUUUGUUUAUGUUGGCCGAGAUGAUCAUGCCUAUCAGCCUGGCUUAGUAGAGAAAGUCGGCAAAUCUGGUGCCGUAGUUGUCCAUUUAUUAGAUCCAUUAUUUUUAGACAAAGGCUACAACGUAUACAUAGAUAACUUUUAUUCUAGUAUUGAGCUGGCUGAAUACUUGGAGACCAGGAAGACC